AAUAAGCAUUCAGCGUGAAAAAUUUAGGCCAGAGUUCAACUUUACCCUUCCAUUUCUUUCUCACCUCUAUUGCAGUUUUCUUCUUUUUUUCAUUCUUCUCCCAAUUUCCUUCCAACAUUCUCCCUCUUUUUCAUGCUUUUAUCCUCACCAACCCUUUGGCAAACCAUAACAACCCUCAACAAGGCCUUCAAUUAAGAAUCGUAUGACGUGAAAACUUGAGAAGAGAAAUAAUCGGAUUGGUUCGAUGUGAGCAAUCAUCCCUCAGGUAACUCUUCUCCCAUUUUGAUUUCCUUUUUUUCUAAUUUUUUUUGAUAAAUUAGUAGAAAUAAUAGGUUUCUUUUCAGUUUUGAAGAUUGAUACUGGUUUUAUUUUCAUGGUGUUUCUUCUUUUCACUUGCCAGUGUUAAAUUAAUGCUGCUGGCAUAAUAUAAGACAGUGUUAAAUUUCUGCCUCUCUGUUCACCCAGCUUGGUGGUUUUUCUCUCUGUUCACCCUGAAGCUUGUUUUACUAAUCGGUAAGUUUACAAUCAAAACUCUUUGAUUGCAUGCGUUAAGGGUUUUGGAACGGACAAUUUAUUUUCUCUUUAUUAUUCAUUCAAUGCAUUGAUGGAACUUCAAAUAAGCUAAUUAUAUGUGUUGUUUUGCCUUUAUUAUAGAAAUGAGAAGUGGAAUUGAGUAUGCAUUGAAUGCCUAAUAGAGUACUUAUGUACAGUAAAAAUUCUUGAUUUUUAAUCCUUUAAAAUGAUUAAAGAAAUAGAGUUAUGAAAUGUUUGUAACUACUGGGGGGAGAAAGAAAAUUUGUUUGGUAACGUGUAAUCCAUAGACUAAUUGUUAAAGUUGCAUAUGGCUACACCAUUUGUAUACUAAUUGUGCAAUCUCACAUUUCUUAACUUUUGGGUUUUGUUGUAGAUCCUUUAUUGAACUGUCAUUGCAACUUGUUCUGCUACUAAGGCUACUUGCAGUUUUCCCUAAACAACAUGGUCUGAAUAAGCCUUGUAUACUAAUUUGUAGGGAUAUGCCUUGUAGCUUGGUGAAAGGUAAAAUUACUUAUAAAAAAGCUGCAGCAUUGCUCUGUAUGUAAUUUAAAAUCUGAGAAUUGAUUGAGUUUCAAUAUUAAUAACAAAUCCAGCAUCCAUUAAAUUGUCCAUGUGGUUUAUAUUAAGAUUUUCUGCUUGAUGACCACUGAAAAAUCUAUUUGCGAGGCUUUGAGUUUAUGUUCUUGUGGAGCUUAUGAUUUGUUAAUUGUAAUUAAUUGUCAUUCAAAGGAUUUUACAGUUUUUUAUAGUUCUCACUCAAGCUACUGUUCUUUUUUUGUUGAUUGGAUAUGUAUUUGUCUCCAUUGUACUUCGCAUGCAGCAUUAGGGGGGAAGCAUUAGUCGGAUUUGGUUUGGGUGAUUUUUUUCGAUUAUAGGUUUAGUUUUUAUCAGUUGGGACAAUUUGAAAAUUGUAAUUUGCCAUUGCUAAUGGUUGUUGAUGUACAUAAAGGAGCUAUAUCGGACAAUAUGAAAUACCAAUGCUUCACGGCUUUGAAGGUGGGUGGGUACAUGCAAUGCUUGUGAAAAUCAAUGUAAUUUAUAAUGUUGAGAACAUAUUUUUACAGAUACAAUAGAUCAGUUAAGUGCUUGUUUCUAUUUUCUCUGUCUCCUUUUUUUGUUGCUCACUAUAUUGUUCUCUCUUCCAUCAUCUUUCACAAUCACUUCCCUUCUUCACCUUCUUCUCUAUGUCCUGCUCCUAGUUCCCUUUGUGUCCUUGUCUUGAUUCACCACCCGACAUGUAGUUUUAGCACCAGUGCCUCUUCAUUUCUUUUUUUUUUUCAUUUUUUUAACGUGUAUUGCAUCUGCUAAGUAUAUUUCCAUCCUCCAUCAAACGUGACAGCCCAUGUUUGUGUUUUAUAUCUCAUGUUAACUGUGUAAGUAUGAAACUAUAAAAUUAGUAAACAUGUGUUUAUUAAAUGUAUAAUGUUUCAUGUCAUGUCUACCUCCAUAAAUGUUUUUCCUUUUUAAAUCUGACACGUCAUCUAGUAGUAUUGAAUUUUUUUUUUUGUCAUUGUUGCCAUAAGAAAAAGGGAAAUUUAUGCUAACAAUGAUGCUAACAACCCAAGCUACUCCUAUUGUCUUAUCAGACUGUUGUAUGGUAAAAAACGGAAUGAUGGAGAAGCUUCCACAGCCCUCCGUUACUAUUCUCUUUACAUCAUUGUUUUGGCUAUGAAUGGUUAGUAAAUUUGGGUUUUUUUGCUUAUUAAUAUGUAUGGGGCUGCCUAACAUUUCCUCAAGUGUCAUAUUGAACACGAUUGGUUUUUUUUAAAAAGUUCUGCUUUGUCCCUGAUCACUUUUAUGUGUGCAACUUAAUGAAUGAAAAUUUACAAUCAAUUUUUCUUUUCCACUUUUCUUUUCAGGGGGAUGAACUGACCAAAAGGGAUUUUAGUGGUUCCAAGGUGAGUCCUAUUUUAUAGAAUUGAAACAACAAACCUACAUUAGAUGUUUGUGGAUUUUCCCUCCCCAUUAUUUAUAACAGAGGAGCCCUGGUUAUCAUACUCUUUUGAUCAUGGUUUGCCAAUGGCAUAAGAAGGUUUGUGGAUUUUAGUUCAUGCUUUGCUGAAGGUUGAAUCUAAUUUUAACAUGUAAGGCAAGCAGCUUACUUGCAUAUUUUGAAAGUGAUCAUAAAUUAUUUAGAUUUGCGGUUGCUAUUCUACUUAAUGGAGUGCUGGUAUUUCAUCUUUGAAUGGCAUCUAACUGUUCUUCAAUUCACAUUUCUCCAUUAUAAAGUGUGUGACUUUUGGUCAGAUGGUGCGGAAUUUUAGAGUACCUCUUCAACAAUUACUGGAGUCAGGGGAUAUUAAUCUCUGCUUUGCCAAAUAUUUUACUGUCAACUGCAGUUUUUGUUGGAAGAGUUUUUCUAAAGUGCCAUACUGUAUUGAGAUAUUUCUGAUUUAUCCAUACUUUUUUAAAAAAAUCAUGGUUGUGUUGAUGAUAUAAUUGCUUGCUUGUACUAAAAAUAAAAUAUUUGCAUGCUUAAAACUUUCUAUCCAUGGUUGGAACUUUCUGAUGCUUUUUAAUCCUUGUACCAAGUGCUAUUGAGUUGUAGAUUAGUAUAACAUCAUGUUAGCUUGAGGAAUUGUUUUAUGCUUCUCAUAUUGCUAUUGAGUUGUAGAUCGGUAUAACAUCCAUUCGAUACCUUUUUUGAAUUCUUAAGUAAUCAUUUGUAUAAAUUCUGAGAUAUUAAGAAUGAACAGUACGGUUUAAUAAUGUUGUGUUUUCUUUGGCAGAAUUGACUUCAAGAUAAGGACCAUAGAGCUUGAUAGAAAAAGGAUCAAGUUGCAUAUACUGCUGGGCAAGAGAGGUUUCGUACAAUAAUUAUUGGGUAUUGUUUUGGGUAUUGUUUUGCAUAAAUCUAUUAUUUGCAUAAUUAUUGGGAGGAAUAAUGCAACUUUUUAAAUAUAAACUAUCAAAUAAUAUUGCUAACAAAGAUAGUUUGAAAGAAGAUUGAUAAGCAAGAUCUUUGGCAUUAUAUAAAAGAUCUGUUUUACCAUUUA
rnacentral:lncRNA from 1 species